rnacentral:rRNA from 1 species
AUGAAACACUCCUACGGGAGGCAGCAGUGGGGAAUAUUGCACAAUGGGCGCAAGCCUGAUGCAGCGACGCCGCGUGAGGGAUGGAGGCCUUCGGGUUGUAAACCUCUUUCGCUCAUGGUCAAGCCGCAACUGUGGGUUGUGGUGAGGGUAGUGGGUAAAGAAGCGCCGGCUAACUACGUGCCAGCAGCCGCGGUAAUACGUAGGGCGCGAGCGUUGUCCGGAAUUAUUGGGCGUAAAGGGCUUGUAGGCGGUUGGUCGCGUCUGCCGUGAAAUCCUCUGGCUUAACUGGGGGCGUGCGGUGGGUACGGGCUGACUUGAGUGCGGUAGGGGAGACUGGAACUCCUGGUGUAGCGGUGGAAUGCGCAGAUAUCAGGAAGAACACCGGUGGCGAAGGCGGGUCUCUGGGCCGUUACUGACGCUGAGGAGCGAAAGCGUGGGGAGCGAACAGGAUUAGAAACCCUAGUAGUCCGAAGUUC